rnacentral:rRNA from 1 species
UGAACGCUGGCGGCAGGCUAACACAUGCAAGUCGAGCGGAUGAGAAGAGCUUGCUCUUCGAUUCAGCGGUGGACGGGUGAGUAACGCCUAGGAAUCUGCCUGGUAGUGGGGGACAACGUUUCGAGAGGAACGCUAAUACCGCAUACGUCCUACGGGAGAAAGCAGGGGACCUUCGGGCCUUGCGCUAUCAGAUGAGCCUAGGUCGGAUUAGCUAGUUGGUGAGGUAAUGGCUCACCAAGGCGACGAUCCGUAACUGGUCUGAGAGGAUGAUCAGUCACACUGGAACUGAGACACGGUCCAGACUCCUACGGGAGGCAGCAGUGGGGAAUAUUGGACAAUGGGCGAAAGCCUGAUCCAGCCAUGCCGCGUGUGUGAAGAAGGUCUUCGGAUUGUAAAGCACUUUAAGUUGGGAGGAAGGACAUUAACCUAAUACGUUAGUGUUUUGACGUUACCGACAGAAUAAGCACCGGCUAACUCUGCGCCAGCAGCCGCGGUAAUACAGAGGGUGCAAGCGUUAAUCGGAAUUACUGGGCGUAAAGCGCGCGUAGGUGGUUUGUUAAGUUGGAUGUGAAAGCCCCGGGCUCAACCUGGGAACUGCAUCCAAAACUGGCAAGCUAGAGUACGGUAGAGGGUGGUGGAAUUUCCUG